rnacentral:rRNA from 1 species
GACGUAGGGCGCGAGCGUUGUCCGGAUUUAUUGGGCGUAAAGAGCUCGUAGGCGGCUUGUCGCGUCGACUGUGAAAACCCGCGGCUCAACUGCGGGCUGGCAGUCGAUACGGGCAGGCUAGAGUUCGGUAGGGGAGACUGGAAUUCCUGGUGUAGCGGUGAAAUGCGCAGAUAUCAGGAGGAACACCGGUGGCGAAGGCGGGUCUCUGGGCCGAUACUGACGCUGAGGAGCGAAAGCGUGGGGAGCGAACAGG